CAGCAGCAGCCACGGGAAUACGUAGGGUGCAAGCGUUAAUCGGAAUUACUGGGCGUAAAGCGUGCGCAGGCGGUUAUAUAAGUCAGAUGUGAAAUCCCCGGCCUCAACCUGGGAACUGCAUUCGUGACUGGCAAGCUAGAGUAUGGCAGAGGGGGGUGGAAUUCCACGUGUAGCAGUGAAAUGCGUAGAUAUGCGGAGGAACACCGAUGGCGAAGGCAAUCCCCUGGACCUGUACUGACGCUCAUGCACGAAAGCGUGGGGAGCAAACAGGAUUAGAGACCCCAGUAGUCCCUGUCUCUUAUAC
rnacentral:rRNA from 1 species